GAAGGCUUUCGGGUCGUAAAACUCUGUUGUUAGGGAAGAACAAGUGCUAGUUGAAUAAGCUGGCACCUUGACGGUACCUAACCAGAAAGCCACGGCUAACUACGUGCCAGCAGCCGCGGUAAUACGUAGGUGGCAAGCGUUAUCCGGAAUUAUUGGGCGUAAAGCGCGCGCAGGUGGUUUCUUAAGUCUGAUGUGAAAGCCCACGGCUCAACCGUGGAGGGUCAUUGGAAACUGGGAGACUUGAGUGCAGAAGAGGAAAGUGGAAUUCCAUGUGUAGCGGUGAAAUGCGUAGAGAUAUGGAGGAACACCAGUGGCGAAGGCGACUUUCUGGUCUGUAACUGACACUGAGGCGCGAAAGCGUGGGGAGCAAACAGGAUUAGAUACCCUGGUAGUCCACGCCGUAAACGAUGAGUGCUAAGUGUUAGAGGGUUUCCGCCCUUUAGUGCUGAAGUUAACGCAUUAAGCACUCCGCCUGGGGAGUACGGCCGCAA
rnacentral:rRNA from 1 species